CUAACCUACCCCUGUCUAUAGGCUUUCUUAGAAUUUUUGUGGUUUGGAGGAGCAACAUAAAGUAUUGCCCUAUGUUGUAAAAAUUUAAAGUAAUAUCGUUACGAAGUGUUAGUGGGAAUCGUAAGUUUGUGCAUGCAUCAUGACGUAUUAACUGGUUAAGUUCCUUCCUCCUUGUUUGGGUUGGGUGAAUAGAAUCAAUCCUAUUCUUGCUAACCUUUAAGGUCUCUCUUACUAAUCUAAACUUACCCUCUACAGGAUGGCUCGUCAGAAGCAGACCCCGCGUAAGCGGACCGGUCCAAAAGGAGUUCCCCGACAUCAGCUAGCUCCACGCAGUGAUCAAGCCAG
rnacentral:lncRNA from 1 species